rnacentral:SRP_RNA from 1 species
GCCGGGCGUGGUGGCGCAUGCCUGUAAUCCUAGCUACUUGGGAGGCUGAGGCAGGAGAAUCACUGGAACCCAGGAGGCAGAGAUUGCAGUGAGCCGAGAUGGCUGCACUGCCCUCCAGCCUGGGUGACAGAGCGAGACCCUGUCUCAA